rnacentral:lncRNA from 1 species
UGCUUUUCAUCCAUCACAAGAAAAGGUGGAGAUUCUAAGUAAAAAAUUACACACAAAUAAUAACCAAUAUCAGCAGCUGUUGUUACAUGAGAGAUGUAUCUCCUAUCUUGACCAUAUCUUUUUCUUACUAUCCCUCUCUUUAACUCCUUGAGACUGAUCUCUGCUUGUGCUAGCUCUCUUAUGAGACAAAGGAACUUGACUAGUAAUGACCGGCGGUUUCGUUGUUAGCCUACCAGUUCUUACAAUUUUAGGCGGAUCAGAUUUCCUUGUCAUUUUUCUAUCGCGUAAAGUGGAUGACGGUGGCCCGACUAAAUUGUUCUCAAUGUCAUUGCUUCUUAACUGCCUUUUGUUUCUCAUCUGCUGAGUAGAAUCAGUCCCUUUUAACAAAGCAGAACCUUGACUUAUCUGGCGGUUUACCGAGUUUGAACUACAUAAAAUGCGACUCUCAAUAUCAUUUGGACAUUCUUCACUUGUGCGGCUUUUACCUAUAUCAGGUGUGGCCGCCGCCUUUACUGCUUCAACAUAACAAUGAGUUUGCUGCCACUGUUGCUCUCGCUCCUUGUAUUUCUCCUCUAGUUCCUUCAUCUGCCAUGACAUUACCUGUUGUUUUAGCAAGGAUUCCGAGUUCUGCUCCUGCUCUUUCAGUUUUCUCUCAAGCUCCUUGA